CAGAAUUAAUAUUGUCAAAAUGACCAUACUACCAAAAGCACUGUACAGAUUUAAUGCAAUUUCAAUCAAAAUUUCAAUGACAUUCCACAUAGAAAUACAAAAAGCUGUCAUGAAAUUUAUAUGGCAAAAUAAGAGAUCCAGGAUAGCUAAAGCAAUCCUUAACAAGAAGAGUGAAGCAGAUGACUUCACGAUACCAGACCUUAUACUAUGCUACAGAUCAAAAAUAACAAAAACAGUAUGGUGUUGGCACCAAAAUAGACUUGUAGACCAAUGUACAGAAUAGAUAACACAGAGACUAACUCCCAUAAUUACAGUUAUCUUAUAUUUGACAAAGGCAUCAAAAAUAUACAUUGGAGAAAAGAUAGCCUCUUCAACAAAUGAUGCUGGGAAAAUUGGAAAUUUAUAUGCUAUAAAGUGAAAUCAAACCCCUGUCUCUCACCAUGCAAAAAACUCAACUCAAAUUGAAUCAAGGACCUAGAAAUUUAACAAGAAACACUAUGUCUGUUAGAAGAAAAAUUAGGCCCAAAUCUCCAUCAUAUCUGAUUAGUCCCCAACUUUCUUAAUAAGACUCCAUAGCACAAUAAUAAAUAUUAAGCAUCAAUAAAUAGGAUGAAUUCAAACUAAAACUCUUCUUCUCAGCAAAAGAAACAAUCAGUGAAGUGAAUAGAGAGCCUACUAAUUGGGAACAGAUUUUUACCACACACACAUCAGAUAUAGAAUUAAUCUGUGUAAUAUAUAAAGAACCCAAAAACUUAAACAAAAAACAAACAAAACAAAUAACCCAAUCAAUAAAUGAGCCAAGAAACUGAACAGACACUUCUCAGAAGAUGAUAUACAAUCUAUCAACACAUAUAUGAAAAAUUGUUCAACAUUUCUAGCAAUUAGAGAAAUGCAAAAUAAAACUACUCUGUGAUUUCAUCUUACUCCAUUCAUUUAAGAAUAUAAAUUACAAAAAAGUGUUGGCAAGAAUGUCGGUAAAAGGCACAUACUCAUACAAUGCUGGUGGGACUUCAAAUUGGUGCAGCUAAUCUGGAAAGCAGUAUGGAGAUUCCUUGGAAAAUUAGGAAUGGAACCUCUAUUUGACCCAGCUAUCCUACUCCUCAUUCUGUACCCAAAGGACUUAAAAACAGCAUACUACAGGGACACAGCCACAUCAAUGUUUAUAGCAGCACAAUUCACAAUAGCUAAACUGUGGACCAACCUAGAUGCCCUUAAUUAGAUGAAUGGAUAAAGAAAAUGUGGUAUAUACACACAAUGGAAUAUUAUUCAGCAUUUUUUUUAUUUAUUUUUUUUUAUUCAGCAUUAAGAGAGAAUAAAAUCAUGACACUUCCAGGUAAAUUGAUGGAGCUGGAGAAUAUAAUGCUAAGUGAAAUUUGCCAAACCCCACAAAACAAAUGUGAAAUGAUUUCUCUGAUUUAAGGAUGCUAAUUCAUAACAUGAUGUGGCAAGGGGCAGGAUGGGAGGAUUAAAUAAACUCCAGAUAAGGCAAAGUAGAAAAG
rnacentral:lncRNA from 1 species